rfam:Pan troglodytes isolate Yerkes chimp pedigree #C0471 (Clint) chromosome 1, whole genome shotgun sequence.
GGUAAAAUGGCUGAGUAAGCUUUAGACUAUAAAUCUAAAGAGAGAUUGAGCUCUCUUUUUACCA